rnacentral:rRNA from 1 species
AGAGUUCGAUCCUGGCUCAGGAUGAACGCUGGCGGCGCGCCUAACACAUGCAAGUCGAACGGCACCCACCUUCGGGUGGAAGCGAGUGGCGAACGGCUGAGUAACACGUGGAGAACCUGCCCCCUCCCCCGGGAUAGCCGCCCGAAAGGACGGGUAAUACCGGAUACCCCGGGGUGCCGCAUGGCACCCCGGCUAAAGCCCCGACGGGAGGGGAUGGCUCCGCGGCCCAUCAGGUAGACGGCGGGGUGACGGCCCACCGUGCCGACAACGGGUAGCCGGGUUGAGAGACCGACCGGCCAGAUUGGGACUGAGACACGGCCCAGACUCCUACGGGAGGCAGCAGUGGGGAAUCUUGCGCAAUGGGGGGAACCCUGACGCAGCGACGCCGCGUGCGGGACGGAGGCCUUCGGGUCGUAAACCGCUUUCAGCAGGGAAGAGUCAAGACUGUACCUGCAGAAGAAGCCCCGGCUAACUACGUGCCAGCAGCCGCGGUAAUACGUAGGGGGCGAGCGUUAUCCGGAUUCAUUGGGCGUAAAGCGCGCGUAGGCGGCCCGGCAGGCCGGGGGUCGAAGCGGGGGGCUCAACCCCCCGAAGCCCCCGGAACCUCCGCGGCUUGGGUCCGGUAGGGGAGGGUGGAACACCCGGUGUAGCGGUGGAAUGCGCAGAUAUCGGGUGGAACACCGGUGGCGAAGGCGGCCCUCUGGGCCGAGACCGACGCUGAGGCGCGAAAGCUGGGGGAGCGAACAGGAUUAGAUACCCUGGUAGUCCCAGCCGUAAACGAUGGACGCUAGGUGUGGGGGGACGAUCCCCCCGUGCCGCAGCCAACGCAUUAAGCGUCCCGCCUGGGGAGUACGGCCGCAAGGCUAAAACUCAAAGGAAUUGACGGGGGCCC